rnacentral:rRNA from 1 species
UACGAGGGGGGCAAUGUUGUUCGGAAUCACUGGGCGUAAAGGGGAGCGAGUAGGCGGGCUUCUAAGUUAGAUGUUUAAUCCCGGGGCCAACCCCGGACAGGCACCUAAAACUGGAAGUCUUGAAUAGUGGAGAGGACGGCGGAAUUGGGGGUGUGAGCGGUGGAAUGCGUAGAGAUCCCCAAGAACACCAGUUGCGAAGGCGGCCGUCUGGACACAUAUUGACGCUGAGGCUCGAAAGCGUGGGGAUCAAACAGG